GUUGAGGGUUCUCGUCGCCACCUUCCUUAGCAAUAUUUUCAGUGGUUGCUUCCUGGCGUGGCGAUGCAAUCGGGGAUUCGGUGAUUAGGAUUGGAGAGGUGUGAGCGACCUCAUCCCCGAUUGGAACAAUUCCUGCAGCUGAAGUGUUGGAAGGGGGGCCCCCUCCUGCUGAUAUAUGUGGUGUAGAGGCGCUCGGGGGGUCCUCCAAGAAAUUUGGCUCUGGGGCCUCAGUUGC
rnacentral:lncRNA from 1 species